CCUACGGGUGGCAGCAGUGAGGAAUAUUGGUCAAUGGGCGCGAGCCUGAACCAGCCAAGUAGCGUGAAGGAUGACUGCCCUACGGGGUGUAAACUUCGUGUAUAAAGGAAUAAAGUGAGGCACGUGUGCCUUUUUGUAUGUACUUUAUGAAUAAGGAUCGGCUAACUCCGUGCCAGCAGCCGCGGUAAUACGGAGGAGCCGAGCGUUAUCCGGAUUGAUUGGGGUUAAAGGGAGCGUAGAUGGGUUGUUAAGUCAGUUGUGAAAGUUUGCGGCUCAACCGUAAAAUUGCAAUUGAUACUGGCAGUCUUUAGUACAGUUGCGGUAGGCGGCCUUCGUGUUGUAGCG
rnacentral:rRNA from 1 species